UUAUUAAUUACUAUUAAUUGUUAGAUUAUGAUUUAAUAACAAAAGAUAAUUUUGAAUUAGGAGAGUGGUGGAUUAUGUGAGGUCCUGGGGAAUGCAGGCACCCACCAUAUGCGUUUGAGUGUCAGGUUGCACUGCUCCCCCUAACAGGCAGCACUCUGUUCCUCAGUAGAGCUUUGGCAGCUUUGCCCCAGGUGGUCUUUCUGCAGGCAGAGGAUGAGGGGCUAAUAAACGUGUGGCUAUAUCACCCUUCCCAAUAAAAUGCAGAUGUCUACAGUAGAAAUGUCCAUGGGCUGUGCCCAUUCAUUCCUCACCUCAAAUAUUUUUCUUGCAUAGAUCAUGACAUAAAACUGUCUACAAAGAGCCAGGGGAGAGCUGGCUUCACACACACAGUUUACAAGCGCCUGCUGUUCAAUCCACAGCUUGUUCACUCAACAGUGUUUCAUUCUGGGGAGAGACCAGUGGACAGCAGGGCAUUGUAAGAGACACUCUCUCACUCUUGCAAUUCGUGGCACUCUUUAAUUAUUAAAGAUACCUUAUCUUGGCGUGUUGAGAACCAUCACAACCAAACAAUCACCAUUUUCCCAAACUGUGUGAUAACGUCUUUGAGGUCAAGAAGCCUAUCACUUGUACAUCUUUGCGUCUGUCCCAGCGUGGAGCAUGGUGUCUACUCAAACACUGACUAUCUGAUGUUUUUUUCUAUUAGAUGUUAUUCCCAAAAGAGGAAUAUUGACUAGUGCUUUUAUUCCUUUACUUAAAAAACAUCUAUUCUUUUAAUAAAAUCUGAAUGAAAGGCUGCUGGCUCACUCACUCGCCACGCAAUACAACAUAGACAUCUAAACUCUUUGGAUCUGUUUACUCAUUUGUAAAGUAAGGUGAUAAGACUUGGUGUUGCACCAGAGGGAAGUUGGUCUCUAGAGAUGCCCUGUGGAGCUCCAUCUGCCCAGCAUUUUCACAAGCCGUGAGGGUGUGGAAGGCAUACCGAUCACUAUUACAGAGUGUGUGGAGCUGGAAGAUAUGGUUCAUGUUUGAAUGACAACAGCAGAAGACAAAAAGGCUGUGGCAGCUUGGAACAACCAGCUACCUUCAACAGGACCAGUGAACUGGCUUCAAAGGACACAGUGAAUCGGACGUCUACUUUACCCAUCUCUGACCCGGCACUGCCUUUUAAGCAGGAGCAAAAUGUUGCAAGGAUGGCUGUGGGGCAUAUGUGAAGUCACCUGUCGAAAGGUACCUUUGCUUUGUAUUGAGACCGUAUCUCCUGGAUCUUGAAUAUAUGUUUUUUUUUGAGUGAGAUUACUAAUCAACAUUAGAUAUCAAGAUGGUGAACCGGAAUCUUGGACUCACAGAAUCAGAACUAAACGGAUACUAAAUGAUGAUCCAGUUCAUUUUCCAGGUUGAAAGAUCAGGCCUGAGCUAACAUCCAUGCCAAUCCUCCGUUUUUGCUGAGGAAGACUGGCCCUGGGCUAACAUCUAUGACCAUCUUCCUCCACUUUAUAUGGGACGCCGCCACAGCAUGGCCUGACAAGCGGUGCAUCGGUGCACGCCCGGGAUCUGAACCCGGGCCGCCAGCAGUGGAGCACACGCACUUAACUGCUACGCCAUGGGGCCAGCCCCUAGGGUAACUUUUAGAUGUAGAUUCGCGAGUAUCACAUCCAAAGAUUCUAUUUCAGGAGGACCGGAGUGGACACUAGAUGGAAUUAUUUUAACAAGAUGUGAAAGUGGUUUUGAUACAAGUGGUUUUUGAGAAACUUUGUUUUAGCUCCUUCUUUGUUGAAUGUUUAUAAAUGACUUUAUUAUUUUCCUUGAAAUGAAUGCCUGGACACGUUAAUGACAUAAUUGUCAAGACUAGAAUAAACUGUUAAGAUUCUGGGAUGGAUGCCUGAAAUAAUCAGAUUAAUAAAACAUGGUAUGUAAACUAUUCUGAAUGAUUUCCCUGAUAUGACAUCAUUGUGCUUUUCCAAAGAAGUCCAGAUAGUCUCUUCAAUUCUUCUUUAUCUCAUAGACAUAGCCAAUGAUAAACUGAUUUAGCAUUAACAGUAUGAAUUUUGUGUUAGGAUUCUUGGUUGUGGACUAUCUAAACCCGGUUGAAACUAAUUUAAGCAAAUGGAAAUAUAUUGGCUUAUAUUACUGAAAAGUCAGGAAAUAUUUAGUUUCAGGUAAGGCUGGAUCCAGCGGGUCAAAGAGAUGCUCAGGCUACUUUUCUUCCAGUUUUCUCUCAGUUCUGCUUGUCUAUGUUGAUUUCCUUUCUCUUCUCCUGCAGAAAGGUAUCUUCUGCUAAGUGAGGAAGAGGGCUAUAGACAAAUACCAGUUCACAGUCUUCAAUCUUCUUCAGCUCCAAACCAACACACAAAUCCUAGAGAAUUUCUGAUAAGCCUUCCUUAGAUUGCAUGCCCAUUUCUGGACUUCCGUGGCCGAGGAAAUAAGUAUUAAUAUGGCCCAUGCCAGACCACCAGUGGCUAGUACCUUGCUUGAAAGUCCCAACCAGAAUUACAAGUUUUCAGAAUUGAAGGAAUUACUAGACAUAAAAAUAAUAGAUUUCAUCAAAACUUGAAAUAGCAUCAGUGGUUUGGGAACAACCUUAGUGUAUACCAGCAGGGGAGUCAGGCAAGGAUGAUAUAUGUACACCUGGGAUGGAAUAUUCUGCAGACAUCAGAACUGAUGGAUAUGAAGACUGCAUGGUAAAAUAAAUGUUUAAGAAGUUUGAUAUUAUGUAAAACGAGAAAAAUAGAUCUCAAAAUUGUACCUUCACUGAGGUGUUGAUGUGAUAGAAAUGUACGUGCAUAUCGCAGGAGAUCAUAGAGAAACAAAAGCAAUCAGUGCUGAGUUAGUGAGAUUCAAAGCACAGGUUUGUUUCCUUUCUUCCUUGUGUUGUCAAUAUUAUUUGAUUUUUCUUUAUAUUAAAUGUUAUUUUCUAUAUUUAUCUGUAAAAUAAAACACCUGAAGUUUCUAGUUUUCAUUGGCAGUACUUUCAUGCAUAUUUCUUUUUAAUCUGGGACAUUAUUUGGUGCUUCCUCUGGUGGACCUCUGAGCUUUUUGCCCGCCUGACAUUUAUUGCUCCUGAUAAUAAUGUCUCUCUUUUCCUUUGUGUGAGGCCCAUUCCGAAGCCAAUUCCACGAGGAGGGCUGGACUAGCUCUGGUCCAGGGAUGUGUGUGUGACUCAGCCCCAGCCAUUCAGUGUAUCGAUUCCACUGGCUUCUAUGUUUGGUUCAGGGAUUAUCAUGUGAUGCAAGUUGGUUUGGUGAGAUUCAAUUCCAAUAGUUUUGUUGGAACAGUCGGAGAAGAGAAGCUCCAUUUUCUCAAGGACUUUCAAAUUGGGAGAUGUAUAAGCCAGGAGCAGUCAGUGAUCAUUUUGCCUCAGAAUGAAAGCCAAGGCAGAGGUGAGAAAUAGUAUUUUAAUUAUAAUCAUUGAAUCUCUAAAUGCUAUUAUGCCUGAAGUUGUUACACUUGUAGACUUUCUUUAAAGUUUAUAUUUUGAGAUAAUUGUAGAUCAAUUUGCAGUUGUAAGAUCUGUGUAAACUUGACCCAGUUUCUCCCAAUGGUAACAUCUUGUAAAACUAUAGUAGAGUACCACAACCAAGAUAUUGGUGUUGAUACAGUUAAGAUAUAGAACAGACCAAUCACCACAAGGAUCCCUUAUGUCAUCCUUUUAUAGCCUCACCUACCUCUCUAUCCCUUUCCCCCACCCAUCCUUGACCCUGGCAACCACUAAUCUGUUCUUGAUUUCUCUAAUUUUGUCAUUUCAAAAUGUUGUAUAAAUGGAAUCAUAUAUUUUGUAACCUUUCUGAGAUUGGCUCUUUUCGCUCAGCAUAAUUUCCUGAAAAUUCAUACAACUUGUUGUGUCUAUCUAUAGCUUGUUCCUUUUUUAUUGCUGAAUAGUACUCCAUCACAUGAAGGUACCAUAAUUUGUUUAGCCAGUCACUCACUGAAGGACAUCUAGGUUGUUUCUAGUUUUUGGCUAUUAUGAAUAAAGCUGCUGGACAAAUUUGUAUAUGGCUUUUUGUGUGAACAUGAGUUUUCGUUUCUCUGGAUAAAUGCAAAGAAUUCAGUUUUGUAUAGUAGUCGCACAUUUAGUUUUUUAAAGAAAUUGCCAAAUUGUUUUCCAGAGUGCCUAUAACAUUUUCUACUUCUUCCAGCAAUGUACAAACCCAUGUACUUUUUGAUUUUUACUUAAGCUAGUUGGAGCUUGAGGUCUUUACUUGCCUUCUCCCACAGUUCAUCAUUGAACACUAUUAUCCUUUGUCUCAGUUCGCUCUUGCCACAAUCAUGCUGCAUAAAAUACCAUCCCUAAACUCAGUGGCGUACAAGAAUAAACAGUGUUUUCAUGGGCCUAGAGGUUGACUGUAAACUGUCUGAUCUAGGCUGGACUCAGCUGGGCAGGUUCUGAUGGGUUAGCUCUUCACUGUGGAUUGGGUCAGAAUUGUUCCAUGUAUUCUUUCUGGAGACUGAUCUGAAGGGUUGUUUACUACUUGUUGAAAGAUGUUCUCAAGUUCUCUUGUGCUUCUGCUAUCAUACUGCCCCACUGCACAUAUCAAGCUCUUGCUUGAGUCACAUCUGCUAAUGUUCCAUUGGCCAAAGCAAAUGAUGUAACAAGUUCAAACUCAAUGGUUGGGGGCUACAUUCCUUCUCUUGUGGGAGCAGCCUCAGGUUGCAUGGUAAAGGAUGUGGAUAAAUGGACAAAAAAAUAACCAAAUUCCUUUUUCUACCGUCUACUCAUCCCAAAACAUUUCUUUUGGUCUUACAUAGUUUCUAGUGCCCACAUCAACAUUGUUUUUUCGAUCUUGCUUAUUAGCUGUGUCUUCUAGGACUAUAGUAAAUUAUAGUAAGAAUUUGUGCCUUUUUUUUCUUACAAUAUUUUUGAUCUAACCAAAGACAUGAGUGACUAGGCACACCCAAAGGUUCAGAAAUCCUCAUUACUUAUAAGAUAUUCUGCAAUUUAAGCUUUUGUCUUUCCUAUUAUUGUUCCCCCAUCACAAUGACUAAACCGUGGUGAUUUCUGGAUUUGUAUUCCUAUGAAUUGCUUCUGGGAUCUUCUAAUACAAGAGUAUGUGGCAUAGUAGCAAGUACUCUCAGUUUGGAACAGGAUUUCUAAGUUCAAAUCCUAGUUAGAAUACUUGCUAACUGUGAACAUUCGUUUCCUCAUCUGUAAAACAGAAAUGAUAAUCCUUACUUCAGAGUAUUUGUGUGAAGAUCAAAUGGAUUUUAAAAAUAUGUAUCAAAUGGAUUUUAAAGGUGUUGCAACCAGUUCAACAUUUUACAUUUGCUAUUAAGGCUAGUUAUUUACAUUCUAGAGAAUGCCUUCUCUCAGAAAUGUGGCUUUGCUGGGCUUGGUUUCAUAGGUCUAUCUCUUGGUCUGUCUUCUGACUGCCACCACAGGAAAGAGAUAAGCAAGGACUCAUAACUGAUCAAAGGAAUGAUCUGAGUUCACGCGUGCAUAGGCCUUUACAAUGCAUGUUGUUGAAUCUUAUAAGAUAAGCUGAGUUAAUUUGAUGGGCAUGAGUGGAUUUACUACAGCCUUGUUCAUCACCUCCAAUACAUUUUGACUCAAGAACUCACAGGGAACUUGAAGAUGAGGACUCUGUGGAUGGACUGGGGUUGGCAGUGUUUUCCCCAGUGCGUGGGAAAAUCCCUUCAGACUGGGUGGUUCUACAAAGUAUGGUUCUGUGUCCUUUAUGGCAAUUGACAGUCUUGUUACAUAUUGGGUAAAUGGUGCUGCCUACUUUGGAGACUGCUUUCUUCAAGCUGCAAGGGGAAGCCUUUCAUGUCUCAGGAAACUGAGGCCCUAGUUUCACUUAGUCUCACCAGGCCACUGGUGUUCUUGGGGUUAGGUUGUUCAACCUCACGGUGUUUGUCUCCUUGCUGUAAAAACGAUAGGAUAAAGCUUCAUAGCUUGUGGGAUCCUUUCCAGCCUUAAUAUUCUAUGAACCUAUGAAUAUGCACUGAUUUCCCUGGAGCUGUGCAACAUAUGGUGCAGGUCCAGGGGAUUGUUAUAGCAUAACUGGCUUUUCCACAGUGGGUUCUCAGAGUGUCAGUGACUCCAUGUUGAUGUUUCACAGUGUGAGUAGAUUGUAAGGGCAAAAAUCCAAUCCUGAACAUCAGGCUUAGGUUUGCCUGCAAUCUACUCUGACCUCUGAAUCCUUCUCUAACCUGUCCCAGAUAUUCAAAACUGGUCUGAUCAUCCAGCUUUGCUUAUUUUGAUUUGCAAGAUUCAGUCUAUUUUGGUGUAACUAGGAAGCAUCAUUUUUCCUGACUA